rnacentral:rRNA from 1 species
GAUGAACGCUGGCGGCGUGCCUAAUACAUGCAAGUCGAGCGAAUGGAUUAAGAGCUUGCUCUUAUGAAGUUAGCGGCGGACGGGUGAGUAACACGUGGGUAACCUGCCCAUAAGACUGGGAUAACUCCGGGAAACCGGGGCUAAUACCGGAUAACAUUUUGAACCGCAUGGUUCGAAAUUGAAAGGCGGCUUCGGCUGUCACUCAUGGGUGGACCCGCGUCGCAUUAGCUAGGUGGUGAGGUAACGGCUCACCAAGGCAACGAUGCGUAGCCGACCUGAGAGGGUGAUCGGCCACACUGGGACUGAGACACGGCCCAGACUCCUACGGGAGGCAGCAGUAGGGAAUCUUCCGCAAUGGACGAAAGUCUGACGGAGCAACGCCGCGUGAGUGAUGAAGGCUUUCGGGUCGUAAAACUCUGUUGUUAGGGAAGAACAAGUGCUAGUUGAAUAAGCUGGCACCUUGACGGUACCUAACCAGAAAGCCACGGCUAACUACGUGCCAGCCGCCGCGGUAA